AGUCAUGUGCAAGAAAAGAUCUUACAGCGUUUUUUCCUCAUUGAGUUGUACCUAAGAAAAAAGUAAUCUUGUCCAAAUAAAUUAAAUUAAAAAACCAUUCAGAGCAUCACCAUUUACCUAAAAGAACAUGUUGAAAUGUUCCAGCAAGUGCCAGACAGAGACAAGGUUUGUACCAUCACCCCGGCUCCAUUGUGAUUUCUAAGUUAAAGAGUUACGUGCCAGGGUCUCACUACGUAGCCCAGAUUGGCCUUGAACUUGCAGCCCUCUGGCCUCCCCUCCAGUGUCCCUGGAAUUACAGGUGUGCACCACUAGACCACCUUGAUUUACAUUUUAAGAACACCACUCUGUGGUGUGUAUGGAAUGGAUUGUAAGAAGGUGAUAGUGGACAGAGGAAGACCUUUUGGAAUCCUCACACAGGACUUUCAGUGAGGGUUAGUAGUACUGAUGAAGGUGAAAGAAGAAAGAAAUUCUGGAAUAU